GCACUGCGCCCAUGCUUGGAGCCCCGAGCCCCAGGCCAGGCCCUGCCCGCCCGCUCAGCCCUGCUCGCCAUGCUCCCGCCCUUGCUGCUGGGGCGGCCGGCAGGGAGCCCACCUGAGGCGCAGAGGGAGGCCAUUGCCGGGCGCUGCCACCAUGAGGAGUCCCGAGUCCUGGGGAGACAGGUCCUGUGCAGGGAACAGAGGGACGUGUCACUCACGCCUGCCGGGGCCAGAGCUCGACUCCGAGGGACCCCCAGUCACCCCAGUCCUCACCCGGUCUCCUCGCCACGCUUUGCUAGGGAGACUGAUCAGCCCCGGCCGUGAGUGACUGCCCCGUCUGCCCGUCCACCCGCAAACAGCAGAAGCUUUGCUAGGGAGACUGAUCAGCCCCAGCCGUGGGUGACCGCCCCGUCUGCCCGUCCGUGAGUGACCGCCCCGUCUGCCCGUCCGUGGGUGACCGCCCCGUCUGCCCGUCCGUGGGUGACCGCCCCGUCUGCCCAUCCACCCCAAAACAGAAAUUGCUUGCUAGGCUCCUAGACGUCAUCCGACCAAGGAGAAGGGACCAGGCGGCAGGCAGGGGAGCGCCUCGACCGCGUUACUCUCCCUUGAUGGCAGCAGAAAGGGAGGCAUUCUCAGGGUGCGUGUGUACCACUGAGCCCCCAGAGGCCUCUUCUGCACAGCGGCUGCUGCGGAGGUGUUGGGAAGGGAUUCCCGAGGUGAGGUUUGGUUCUCAGCUGCAGGGGACAGACUUCCAGGUGCCCUGAGGGAUCUUAGAACUGGACCAGGCUACCCAGCAGCCCCCACAGGUGAGCCCAGCAACUGCCACCGUGCAGGGUUGGGGGUGAUACCUUCCCACAGGUAUCCACCCCAGACCCAGCGAGCCACUGUCUGCAGAGUCAGCAAGAUUGCUUCCCGAGAAAGCCUGUCCAGCAGCCAAGGGCUUACAAGGGACCAGUUCUCAACAGUCUGGAGGUUGAGGGGAACUUCACCCAAAGGAUUCUGGCCUCAACUGACUCUGCAGGCAGCUGAGGGAAUUCCUGAGCACACGUGGCCCUGAGGCUGAGAAGGAGGAAGCUCUGGAAACAGGAAGCCGCAGUACCCUGACCCAGGCAGGGGCCCUGAGACAGUGGAGCCCACAGUUGGCCUGAGGAAGGGUCCCCUAGGAGGGGCCACUGACCAGGGCUCUGGGGAGGGGCUUCCCUUCCUAGAAACCCUCACCAGCCCCUAACCAUCCCCAGGAAGAGGCUGGAGGGCUCCAAGAACACCACGGAUGGGGUGGUCGCCUUAGCUCAUGCUAUGGGUUUGGGCUCACUGUCAUUUGGGAUCGUGCGUGUCCUCCCUCGAGUCCAUGAGUCAGCCCCACUGCCUGAGAUUGCGGUCCAGGAUUGACCUGAAGAAUGGAACCAGUCCAGAGGCGGGGGAUGCGGCUGCCCUCGGGCUCAUGACUGACGGCCCAGGCAUCUUCAGAGGGGCUUUCCUGGGAUUACAAGCCCCCAGCAGAGACAGCUAGGGCGUGGCUAAACCCACUGCCAUGUCAGGAAACUUAGCAGUAAAGCCUUCUCCCACUCCCCACAAUGGGACACGCUGGUGACAGCAGCCUCGGUCCUGGGCAGGCUGGAGAAGGACGUGGCCCCUCAGUCCUGCUGGAGGCCUCGGGAAUGACCCCCGCCUAGGACACAGCCAGCUCCACUAUGGGGUCACCCUGAGUCUUCUUUAGGAGACUCUUAAGAGAUAACAUCCCUGAGGAAACUCUGUCCAGUAAUAGAGUUUUGUUUUGUUUUGUUUUUAA
ensembl:lncRNA novel transcript